rnacentral:rRNA from 1 species
GACGAACGCUGGCGGCGUGCUUAACACAUGCAAGUCGAACGGAAAGGCCCUGCUUUUGUGGGGUGCUCGAGUGGCGAACGGGUGAGUAACACGUGAGUAACCUGCCCUUGACUUUGGGAUAACUUCAGGAAACUGGGGCUAAUACCGGAUAGGAGCUCCUGCUGCAUGGUGGGGGUUGGAAAGUUUCGGCGGUUGGGGAUGGACUCGCGGCUUAUCAGCUUGUUGGUGGGGUAGUGGCUUACCAAGGCUUUGACGGGUAGCCGGCCGGAGAGGGUGACCGGCCCCAUUGGGACGGGACUCCGCCCCAGCCCCCUGCGGGGGGCAGCAGUGGGGAAUAUGCCCCAAUGGGGGGAGCCCUGAUGCCGCCCGCCCGCGUGGGGAAUGCCGGCCUUCGGUUUGAAACCCGUUUUGGCGUGGGAAGAGGGGUGGGUGAGGGUAAGGGAAAAAAAACCACCGCCUAACUCCGCG